GUGAACGCUGGCGGUAGGCCUAACCCAUGCAAGUCGAACGGCAGCACAGUAAGAGCUUGCUCUUACGGGUGGCGAGUGGCGGACGGGUGAGGAAUACAUCGGAAUCUACUUUUUCGUGGGGGAUAACGUAGGGAAACUUACGCUAAUACCGCAUACGACCUACGGGUGAAAGCAGGGGAUCUUCGGACCUUGCGCGAUUGAAUGAGCCGAUGUCGGAUUAGCUAGUCGGCGGGGUAAAGGCCCACCAAGGCGACGAUCCGUAGCUGGUCUGAGAGGAUGAUCAGCCACACUGGAACUGAGACACGGUCCAGACUCCUACGGGAGGCAGCAGUGGGGAAUAUUGGACAAUGGGCGCAAGCCUGAUCCAGCCAUACCGCGUGGGUGAAGAAGGCCUUCGGGUUGUAAAGCCCUUUUGUUGGGAAAGAAAAGCAGCAGGUUAAUACCCCGCUGUUCUGACGGUACCCAAAGAAUAAGCACCGGCUAACUUCGUG
rnacentral:rRNA from 1 species